rnacentral:snRNA from 1 species
GUACUUACCUGGCAGGGGAGAUACCAUGAUCGCAAAGGUGGUUUCCCCUGGGUGAGACCUGGGUGAGACUCGUCUGUUGCUCUCCAGGUGUGCUGACUGCUGCGAUUUCCCCAAAUAUGGAACACUCGACUGCAUAAUUUGUGGUAGUUGGGGAUUGCAUUGUGUUUUCCCCUG